rnacentral:misc_RNA from 1 species
GGAAGGAUCCAUGAUGAAAUCGAGUGCACGCACACGCCAGUGUGUGUUGCACAAUACUCUGUUGAAAUGAGAUCGGAGUGCGUGAGUGGGAGACAACUCUUGCUCGCACACCCCUUCACUUAUACAUCAUAGACAAGCAUAAGAGAAACACAACAGAUAAAAAAUCUUUUUUUUACCACUUUUAACAAUGGAUCUCUUGGCUCUUGCAACGAUGAAGAACGCAGCCAAAUGCGAAAAGUAUUGUGACAUGCAUUCUUUGUGAAUCAACGAAUUUUUGAACGCACCUUGCACCUCGUGGCACUGUCAAGAGGUAUACUUGUUUGAGCAUUGCAAAACGAGAUUACGCUGUAGCAGUAGUGAACAGUGUAGUGAUCUGAGCCUCUGAGUGUGCACGUCAGUGCACGCCUAGUUGUUUGAAAUGCACACUCGCGUGUCCGGUUGUGGACGACAGUCUCAUGGGAUAAUAUCCAAUCAUGAGACAACGUUCACACACGGUGUACAGCGAGUCCCGUCUGCAAUCAUUCUUAUUGUGGACACUGCGUGUCGUGUCGUGUAGUGCAAGCAAGCAUCACACAACACACACCCUUUAUCUUUACCAAUCUCAAAUCAAGUAGGAAGACCCGCUGAACUUAAGCAUAUCAGUAAGCGGAGGAAAAGAAACUAACAAGGAUUCCCAUAGUAACGGCGAGUGAAGUGGGAAGAGCUCAAAUUUAAAAUCGCGUACAAGUCAUUGUGCUCGAGUUGUAUUUUCAAGGCGCCUCUUUUGCACAGAACGUGCUGCGUAAGUCCUUUGGAAAAAGGCAUCAUAGAGGGUGACAAUCCCGUUACGCAGCACAUCAGUGCAGACAAAGAGACGCCUUUGAGUCGGGUUGUUUGGGAAUGCAGCCCCAAAUGGGUGGUACAUUUCAUCUAAGGCUAAAUAACGGCAAGAGACCGAUAGCGAACAAGUACCGUGAGGGAAAGAUGAAAAGAACUUUGAAAAGAGAGUGAAACAGUGCGUGAAAUUGUUAAAAGGGAAACGAUCGGGGUGAGAGAUGGAAGGGCGGUGUAGUGAACAGAAAGAUCUUAGGGUCUUCUGUCUGCUAUAGAACGCUCUUUCUAGUCAACAUGCUUUUUUCGAUCUGGACAAGACAAGAGAAAAUGUGUUCGCACAGAGUCCCUUGGCAUACAGAUAGGGAAAAGUAAAGGCACUCUAGGGCUUCCCUAGUUUUCUGUUGACAAAAUGACCUUGAACGACCCGUCUUGAAACACGGACCAAGGAGUCCAACAAUGAUGCAAGUAUUCGAGUGACAAACUCGAGUGCGCAAAGAAAUUGAAGCGUGGGAAUGCACACCCCCUCACGGGAGGUGUACGUGCACCACGGGCCGGUUCUUGUCAUGGACUUGGAUCGAGCUAGAGCAUCCAUGUUGGGACCCGAAAGAUGGUGAACUAUGCCUGAAUAGGGUAAAGCCAGAGGAAACUCUGGUGGAGGCUCGUAGCGAUUCUGACGUGCAAAUCGAUCGUCGAAUUUGGGUAUAGGGGCGAAAGACUAAUCGAACCAUCUAGUAGCUGGUUCCCUC